UACGGAGGGUGCAAGCGUUGCUCGGAAUUACUGGGCGUAAAGCGCGUGUAGGCGGUUUCGUGUGUCUGAUGUGAAAUCCCCGGGCUCAACCCGGGAAGUGCAUUGGAAACUGCGAGACUAGAGUCCCGGAGAGGAAGGUGGAAUUCCAGGUGUAGCGGUGAAAUGCGUAGAUAUCUGGAAGAACACCGGUGGCGAAGGCGGCCUCUGGACGGUGACUGACGCUGAGACGCGAAAGCGUGGGGAGCAAAC
rnacentral:rRNA from 1 species